ensembl:lncRNA uncharacterized LOC114784870
UAGAAUCGCGCUGCGCCGCACGUCGCGUCGGACGAACGUCGUUGUCAUGGUAACGAUGUUUGUUGAUCCUCAGAGCUGUAAAGCGACCGAGAGGAGCGAGAUCGUUUUUGAAAUAGAAGCUGAGCAGAGUGAGCAGAUUGAGAUUUCCCAGAUUGAGAGAUUCAUCAGGAUGGAGACCGUGAGAGAGCAGCGAGGAGGACCAGGACAUCCAGGAUCCGACAGCAGCGGGAAGACGGCGGUUGGUCCAGGCCCAGUUCAGCGGUGCGCGGCUGCGUAUCUACUGGGUUCUCGGGCCUGUGCUAAACCGACUGAGGGUUUAGCAAUUUUGAUUGAGCCAAUGCCCCUACCAUCAAAAGGGCGGAAGAAGGUGCAGCAAUAUCCUGCAGCCAGGAAGCCCCAACGAUACCCCAAGGCUGGUCCAUCACGGGUGAAGGUGCUGACAAAGCUGCCCCUGAUGGGUACUACAGCCAAGCCGCCUUUCCCCUACACUGUAGCCAAGAGGACCAGACCAGACACCUUGUCCAGGAGGAAACAGAUGAGCUGUCCAUAUCGAAGACCCCAGGCUGGAACGUCCACUGUGCUGCCUCUGCCUGUCACCGCUGUGACCAGUUCAUCAGAGGCAGGCAUGAAGGUCCCCAGGAUGCAGCUGCCCCAGGACAAGUUAGUCCAUCUCUUCAGCACUCAGGAAAAGCCAAAUCCACCGAGUGCCGUGUGCCUUCCAUCUUGGAGGAAACCACAUUCUCGUCUCAUGUUGUCCAGCUCGACAUCAGAGCGAGAAUCAAUGAAGAGAAAGGAGACCAUGAGAGAGCAGCAAGGAGGACCAGGACAUCCAGGAUCUGACAGCAGCAGGAAGACGACGGCCGGUCCAGGCCCAGUUCAGCGGUGCGCGGCUGCGUAUCUACUGGGUUCUCGGGCCUGUGCUAAACCGACUGAGGGUUUAGCCAUUAUGAUUAAGCCAAUGCCCCUACCAUCAAAAAGGCAGAAGAAGGUGCAGCAAUACCCUGCAGCCAGGAAGCCCCAGCGACACCUCAUGGCCCCCAGGACGCAGCCAGACCCGACCACCUCCUGUACCCAGCUGCCCCGGGACAAGUUGGUCCGUCUCUUCAGCACUCAGGAAAAGCCGAAUCCACCGAGUGCUGUGUGCCUUCCAUCUUGGAGGAAGCCGCAUUCUCACCUCAUGUCGUCCAGCACGACAUCAGAGCGAGAAGCAAUGAAGAGAGAGGCUCAGCGGCAGCGAGAAGAGGCGGCCAAGAUCACCCGUAAUGGGGUAGACUGCAGCGUACUGGCUGACCGCUGGCACUACCCGUACAUCUGGCCUAAUUAAUGGUAAGUAAGUGACAGGUAAGUGAAGUAAUAUGUAUUAAGUUAGGUAGUAAUAGUUAGUAAGUAGUAUGUAGUAAGUUUUUGUAGUAAUGGUUGUUAAGUUAUAUGUAGUAGUUAGGUAAUAAUAGUUAUUUAGUAAUAUGUAGUAAGUUAGGUUAUAAUAUUUAUUAAGUUAUAUAGAGUAAGUUGGGUAAUUAGUAUAGACAGGACUUGAUGUAAUUGAUAUGAUGUCUGUGUUUACCUGUGUAGUUCUAGUGACACGGUAGUACAGUGCUUGGAGAUAUGAGCCAACCGUAGGCCAUAUAUCAAGAAAAGCUCACACAUCUACAUACAAACCUCACACAUACACCAUAUAUUUGUCACGCAUCUACAUAAAAACCUCAGACAU